rnacentral:lncRNA from 1 species
CAUGUUGUGCGAUUGGGAGACCGCCGAAUUUUGCUGCUGCGCCGUCAGCAGGGCACGGAUCUGCUCGAGCCCUGUGCCAGCCUCUGAAUCAGUCGACUGGAGGGAAUCGGCUAUCUUGGCGGCGGCAGCCAGGUUGAGGACGGGUGUGCGGAACACCUCAACGUUGCUCUGACGAGUGCGCCUACUGGCAGAACGGCGGGGCUGACGGCGAACGCCAGAUGUUUCGCCGACCUCGUGCUUGUUCCGGCCGGUUUGGCGGGGACUCUCAUGGGAGUUGGCCA